AUUUUGUUUGAGUUCGUAGCUCUCCUAAAAAUUCCUCCAAUUUUUGCCAAAGACCAUGAUGCAUUAAUAGUCUGACAUAAACUUCGCUUGUUACUAAAAACUCAUCAUCCAACUUAAGUAAUCGAGCAGAAGCGAUUUUGUUUUCUAAAUGAUUAAUAGUAACUAUGGUCUCAAAAUCAUCAUAACCUUCUUCAGUGAUUGCAUCAGCUACCAUUUUUUGUAAUAGUUUUCCUCUUCCAGAAUCCAUUAAAACAUUAUUAGUUCGGUGUUCAUAUAUUUUGAGCGGCUGACUUUCGGUUUGAGUAUUGCUUUGCAGUAAUCCACUUGAAUCCCACUCCCGACUUCCUAUAGCCCACCACGGUUCAGUAAUUCGUUGCCAACAAAGCAUUGUAGACGAAUAAACGUACGUUUCGCCGGUAGAAAGCGUAACACUGGGGACCCCUUCCUUGCUGAUGCUGGCAAUAACUACGUGUGGAAUGUCAGUCGAGUUGUUUUCAAUGGUAACAUUGUUGCUAACUCUACUUAGGAUUGGAGCUAAUGAAUUGGCAGUAAAUAGAGCAGUCUUGUUCACCACAUUCCAAGCAUAUACCAUUCCGCUUGAAGAAAUGCAAAGCAAAUACGCGUUAUUGCAAUGCAAAAAUGAAGCCUUAGAUUCAAUCAUUAUUGGCGGUAGCAGUCUUGAACCUGUCAAUGAAUACAAAUGUAGAGAUCCAUCAUCGCACGCAAUUGACCAAAAAUGAAUACUCCCAGUAACCAGUAUAA